UACGAGAGGCCCAAACGUUAUCCGGAAUCACUGGGCGUAAAGCGCGCGCAGGCGGUCAUCUACGUCUGGGGUGAAAGCCCGGAGCUCAACUCCGGGAUUGCCUUGGAUACGGGAUGACUUGAGGAUCGGAGAGGCAAGGGGAAUUCCACGUGUAGCGGUGAAAUGCGUAGAGAUGUGGAGGAACACCUGUGGCGAAGGCGCCUUGCUGGCCGAUUUCUGACGCUGAGGCGCGAAAGCGUGGGGAGCAAACAGG
rnacentral:rRNA from 1 species